ensembl:lncRNA
UAUUCUGCUGCUUUCGGCAAGAGCCAUACAGAAUAUGAAGAAUGUGAAAGCUUCAGAAGUCAGCGCAUACAAACCUCACUCCAGAGUCCUGGGGGUCUGCUUCCGGACGGCACGCAGCGGAAGUGGAGCAGAGAUCCGCCCUGUAACAGUAACUGCAAGCUUGUUAUAGUGUUCGUGCGCGCUGCGAGUCUGCAGCAGCACACACCAUCAGCUCUGAGAAUAUCGAGCGAAACAUGCAGUGCAGUCGAGCACAUACGGAAGUGCACACCUCUUGUUGAAGUCAGCAGCAGUGAAGAGAGGAUUCAGCGUUUAGCUAUCAUGAGGAGAGCCAUCAGACAGUGGCAGUGUCAACCCAGCAGAAGGCUGUUUAUUCCUCUUGUGGGCUUGGUGUUGAUUUUGCUGGCUCUUUUGAAACUGCCUGCCUGUCACUUGGACCCGAAGCCUGUGGAGGUGCCAGUGGACCCCGUCUAUAGAAAGGUGCGUCUGUCUGUCUGUCUUUUACAUCAUCUUUACAUCAGAUUCAGGAAGUAUCUGCACCAUGUCCGUGAUCAACUCAAAUGAACUUAGCUUCUAUUGACUUCUGUGUGGCAUUGAUUCACAAACAUAGGUCUGGUGAUGUGGAUGGUAUUCGUGGGGCCAAAUUCUGACUCUGUUUGCUAGCGCAUAAAAGCAGAACACUAUGGUUUCAGGUUCUGUUGUUGCUAAGAGAGUUCAGCAGAACUUGUGACCAUACUCGUCUAACGAUGCUUCUGAGAAACGCAGAUCUGAUCCGUCUGUACCUCUGUUGUGAUACGAGUCAUGAACACUGUCCUAAAACUGUGCUUCCUCUCGAUUGUGGGAGUUCAGAUAGCUUCCCUAGAUUGUAGUUGUGCCUGUACGUGAGUUUGAUUAUGAAUUGAUAGGAGUGAUAUUUUAUAGUUUUUAUGACUUUAUUCUUCAAUGUGGAAAAUGACGACGUCACAUUGAGUAACAUAACGCAAUCUACCAAAAAUCUACCAAAAUCUAAAAAUCCCUAAAUUAACUGCUUUUUCCUGUUGACUUCUUUUGUCCUUUUUGUUGUCUUGAUAAACGUUGAUGGUGAGGUUCAGUGAACUGAAGGAUGUGACCAGGAGCUCAUCGUCAUGAAUGUAGGCUGUCAGUUCCUGUUUGAAGGGUGUGAGAACGAGUGCUCUCUGAGCCUGUUCCUCUGCUAACAGCAUUGUGUUAUUCUUGAGCUCACAUAGUGAAAGUUAUGAACAGUGCUGGCUUUGGUGACGAGGUCAGUAAUUCAGCGUUAGAAGUGCACAAUGUAUGAAAAAUUAUAGAAAUAAGAAAACGGAGUGUGGAAAAACAUUUGAUUCCUGGCUAUUUCCCUUUGCUGUUUUCAAAAAUAUAACACUGAGAAUUUCUGAAAAUUAUUUUUUUGUGAUGUUUUUUUUUUUAUUUCCCAGUUCUAAUUUAUUUAUUUUUUGUUCUAAAAACAUUCUAAGAACAUUUCCAUGCAUUGUCCUAGCAAUGUUUUUUUUCUUUCUAUGACGGAUUUCCGUCAACUUCCGGGAAAAGAAACAUUUAUAAUCAAUCAUCAUCCCUGCCACGGCUGCAGCUUCUCAGUGACAGUGAUGCCGCUGGGGAUUGGGCUAUUAAUAACAGUUCUGCUCAUUCACGCAGGUUCUGUGUUUAUAACGCGAUGACAGAUGAAGGAAUGUAUCAUUUGCACGUGCUUUUGAGUCAUGAGAACUCACUCGCGCGCUCUUAUUUUCUGUCUGCCCACAGAUCGCGAUAAGGAGAGUCACAUCUUUUAAUAGUUAAGAGUGUUUGCAAAUGAAUGCAACAGUUCAGUAAACAAGUACUGCCUGAUUUUGCUCUGUUUCUUCAAGGAAAAUAGUCCCAAAUAUAGUAACAGCUCAGCCUCUUCGCAUCUAUAAAAGCAAACACAGUCGAGUUUCAUUCAUUCAAUGAAAGAUUACCCAUUCAUAAAGACAGUCACUUGCUUCACUCCUGAAUGAAUCACCCGGUCAAAUGAUUCAGUUGAAUGAAUGAUUCGGUGAUAAAAUCAGUGAACUUGCCGCCACCUGCUUGUGGAUUUAGUUUAAUUUAUGGCGUAUAAUUUAAGUGAUUUAAAUCAUUUAAUAUUUCUGUAUUCAAAAAUUUCUAUUUAAAACAUUAAUCUCCACAUGAAUGUAUGAAUUUAAUUGCACUCUGCCGCCUCUGAGGCUCAUUAAACGUCUGAGUGCACGUGAUUCUUGGGUGGGGUGGUCCAUGGGAAAUAAUCCUGCCACCACAGCUGGAAAAAAUCCUAGGAAACACUGCAUACAUUUAAUAAAAUAAGAAAAGUGCAAUUACA